rnacentral:lncRNA from 1 species
GUGGCACUGCUCAUAUUUAUGUCCAGAGACAGUUUCUCUUCUUUGUGGCCAUCUUGGGCCACUGUUCUCUAGAUGAAUAGUCCCAUGCAUGCAUCCUGUUUCUACUGACCUUUAGACUCCACCAAUAUUUUUGCCUUCUCUAUUCACCAUGACUUCCUCUUUGUAAAGUCAGCUCUGUUUAUCUCACUCUGCUUGGUUCCCUAGCCUUUGCUUCUUACUUCUCCCACAGCUAGAGGCACAAUGUCUUGAGUGUUGCUGAAACUCUCUCUCAAUAUAUUUAGCAUGUUUUUCACACUGUUAUUUUGAUAAUUACAUGCUGACUGCUAGACUUUGAACAAUUUGACUUUAAGCAACUUUAGAGCAGUGGCCAUCUCUUAUUCUUGAAGUCCCAGAAACUAGCAUUCUUUUUACUAGAAUAGAUAACACAUACAUUUUGAAUAAGUGAAAGCUAAGCGAAUAGUCAUAACCCUGUUUAAUAGAUUCUUGGUGGCUGUCUUAAUGGCUCUUGGAUGGCUACCUUCUAGCUAUCUCUUUUUCUCUACUCAGUAUGCCUGUUGGGGUGCCCUACUGUGUUUCAUUUUAGAAAAGCCCUUUGAAUAUGUGAUACUUCAGGAGGUAUCCAAAGGAAGGUCCAGGAUGUAGCAGUCUGAGCAGAUGGUUCUGAAUCGGGAAGAUAAGAAGGCGGCCACUGCAGUGGGAGCAUGUAAAGGGGGACUAUAUUACAAGAAUGGAAAAAGGAUCACCCUCAAAAGUACUUUAUUUCAAAAGAACAAAAACGACAGAAACAAUGCUGAAAAGAACAUAGGAGAGAUGGAAGCCCAAUAUCCUAAUUUUAUAGCUGGAAAAAAAUAAAAGUGACUUUCCCAGGGUCAUACAACUCAAUUGCUAGGCUGAGAUUUAAUCCCAGAAGUUCUCUGUCUACUACAGCAUGUAUCUUGCAUGUAGAUUAUUUUGUGACUUGCUUUGUAGUUCCUAAGAAGCAGGGUAACUUGUGAACAGAUUAAAAUUUUAAAGAACCAACUGAGUAGGUCACAUACUUUUGAAGAUUUCUAUACAAUAAAGUGAUUAGGUGAGGACUAUGUAAUAUACUGUAUUAUUUUAAUUCAUCUAUCUGUGUCUGUUCUGCUAAGGCACUGCUUCAUGUACAUUGCCCAUAAUUUGCAUAUAUUCUAAAGUAAAUUAGCAAUUUCAUAUUUUUGCUCCCUUAAAAGAUAAAGUGUGA